UGAAAUUUUAAACACAAAAAGAGGGCACACACAUUUUGAACUCUACAAUGCACCCUUUUUUGAUCUUUACCUGGUGUCAGUUCCACUCACUGCCACACCUUUGGCCUGAAAAGGAAACAGAUACUUAUGAUCUUGUGGUUUUGGAGAAGAAGGGAAACAUUUUGAAUUAGUUACUUUUAUUUCAGUAUGGAGCUGGCUUAGGGCAGCCUCUUCCAAUUUGUUCCUGUACUACAUACAAACAUAUUUUAAAAAGACAUUAUAUUAUAAUGUCAAACAUUAUUCCAAUAAUCAGAUGUUAGAAUUUCUAAGGAAUUCAUCCUAAUUUAAGGUGAAUGAACUAAAAUGAGAAUAUCUACAGUUUUCAUCACCCAGUAUAUUAAGAUGUCUUCAUAAAAUAGUAACUGAAAAUCAGAAGAAUGAGGUUUUCUACCUCUUUCUCCCACGUAUUCCCUCACCUGAAACAUAACAAUUGUCCCCUGAGCGCUUCCUUUACUAGCCUUCCCUACAGCGCCCCAGAAAGCCUGUGCAUCAAGCAGACGAGUUAAUUGGCCUUUCUGCAGGAACUGAGAACACCACCUGUGAGGCUCAUGGUUUUAGGGUUUGGGGGUACGGAUUCAAAUAAUUGACAGUGGGUCUUUCAAAUGAGGGGCAUGAGCUUGAAAACAUGUUCCAGAAUAGUAAAGGAUUUGUGGACACAGCAAUACGAAGUUCUUUUUUUGUUUUUUGAGACGGAGUCUCCCUCCACCACCCUGACUGGAGUGAGUGGCGCCAUCUUGGCUCACUGUAAGCUCCGCCUCCCGGGUUCCCGCCAUUCUCUUACCUCAGCCUCCUGAGUAGCUGGGACCACAGGGGCCGCCGCCACGCCCGGCUAAUUUUUUGUAUUUUUAGUAGAGACGGGGUUUCACCGUGUUAGCCAGGUUGGUCGCGAUUUCCCGACCUCGUGAUCCACCCACCUCGGCCUCCCAAAGUGCUGGGAUGACAGGCGUGAGCCACCGCGCCCGGCAGCGAUACGAAGUUCUUAAAGCAAGUCUUCAUCAGGAAGGGUCCUUGAUCAGCAACUGCUUGCGCAGUUACGCCUCUAUUUUCCUCUGUUGCAUGACCCCAGGAGAGAUUUUAAUUAGCUUUCUAACCUUGGUCCAGAUUGCAUAUGCAAAGGGUAGAGGAUGCAACACCCCCGGUCGUGGAGCUGCCGCUUGUGUCUGGCAUGGUGAGUUCACCAUUUGCUGCAAGUCCCAUCGAUUCUGACUGUUUCUUUCAAGGGCCACGUGUUCAAAAUCGAAACUAAUAAUUAAGCAUCAUUUGAAUAAAAUACACUGCCAGCUGAAUAUUCAUUCAGAUAUGUACGAUAAUAAUAACUGUUCCAUUGCUGGUGUAGCUAGAGAGUUCCUGAAUAAUCCCAAAGAUUGUUACAAUUAGCAAGUUUAAUUACUUGAAAAAAUCUUGUGCAAAUUAAGAUGAUCAUAUACAUUUCAGGAAAAAACACGUGAUCUUUUACAUAAUGAAUGAUAUUUUGCUGAGAUUCUUGGAUUUGUAAGGCAUUGUUGGCCAAGCAUGGAAUGUUUUCCUAUGGUAUGGUAUGCGAAGUGAGUUACACGAUACACAGAAAAACAUUUAUGUUUCAAUAUUUACCUUAAGAUAUGUGACUUUUUAG
ensembl:lncRNA